GCUUCGUCCCCAAUCUGUCGAUCCCCUCUCCGCUCGCCUCCUCCUCUCCCGGGUCGCUGCGCCGCCGGCUCAGCCGCUUCUCCUGCGCCUUCUCCUCCUCGCUCCUCUCCUCAUAGAUGAGUCCUCGACCAGGUCGGCGUCCAGCGCAGGAGGAUCUGGAUGGUCGUGGUGGUGGCAUAUUCAGCGGCGUCGCCGGACGAGCUCCAGGCGCGGGGGAGAUAUCUCCACGGGCCCGCGCAACCACGUCCCCUCGCUGACGUCGGCAUGUAGUCCGCCCAUGCCGCCAAGGAGAGGGAGCAGCCGCGCCCGGAGGAGGUCGUCCCCAACGUCUGUAUAAUCCAGUCCGGAUUUGUGGAGAGCCCGGCGCAGCACCGUCUACAGGAGCCCAAGCAGCACCAGGCACAUUUGAGUUUCCUCUCCCAAUGCCAGCAAGUCCAUCAUCUGCUCCUCUUACGUUAACACGCACAGGACUAAACAUACCAUUCCCAUCCUUGGGCAUCUGCAAGGCAGAUACUACCUUCAGUUCCUGAAGCACUUGUCCUAUCAUGCUCCUGCCUGUAGUCACAAGAAUUACUUGUAAGGCAACAGUUUCUGCAAGUAUCAGGAACUAUUGCUUGCACUCUGUGGCACAGGAGCAUCUGCAUUAACAAAUCAACAAAGUUUCAGAGAUGGUCUUACAGGGAAAAAAGCAUUUAUAGGGGAAAAAGCCCAUUUUACAGGGAUAGACUAACCUGAAGCCAAAGACCAUCAUUUAUAGCUUUGCAAGGAAAUUCAAAUUCUUCAAGUUGCUUUCGAACACUUAACAAUGCAUCAAAUGACAUAUUGUAAUAGAGAAGAGAACACCUUUCAAAUAUAUUCAUGGAAGUAUUAUGCUUGAUGGAGCAGGUCAUGAUUGAUUCUGCAGUUGCUGAUUCGUUUUUUUGCUUCCAAUGCUUUGUUACAUUGAUAAGGGCCGGAGCUUCAAUGACGAAUCCACUAUUCGCAGACAGCCCAACUCGACAGGCACGAGCCAUGUCGACAGUCGAGGUGGCACUCGGGGGCAUGCUCGCCUCGGCAGUCAUCAAGGUGGCGAGAUCAAUUCUACCAUUUCAGGCAAGAUCAAGCUGCACAGGAAACUGAGGAACGAUCUGGAGAACAUGAAGAUGAUGCCAGAGUCGGUGGAGGUUGUGCUCGGCAACGUUGAGAGGGAGUCUAUCAAGCAUAAGUCCAUGCUUCUGUGGCUGAAUCGGCUUAAGGAUGCCGCGAACGACAUCUCCGACAUGCUUGAAGAUUUUGAAGAUGAAACCGACUUCAACCUGCUAUGCAAGAUUCUGUCGAUUUGGUCACUAUCAAUCUUGAUCUGAAUGAUGUUGUUUAAUAAUAGAUGAAUAUUUUUAGAUAAUGAACUACAUCUAAAACUUUUUUAUGUAGUGAAGUAGAUCUGAACCUCACUGUUGGAGUUGAUCUUUGAGUCGAUGUUAAGUAAAAGCUACUUCUGCUUGUUGAUGCAAGACCACCUUUAGAUUCGAAAAUGUCCCUGCCUUCUUUUGUUUGACCAAUAGUAAGCUAUGUCCACAAAUACCAUGAUUUUAUUGAGGGGAAAGUGAAGUAGAACUAGUCUGGUAUCCCAAGUGUAAUAUCAGUUUCUGCAUUGUUUUUCUCAACCACCUGAUUGAAACUAGUUUGUAAUGCCAUCUCCGCCCCUUUCAAGCCUUCCAUGGUACUGAUACACCGCAUUGUACCUCUUGCAGUGGGCAGCCACGAUGAAGAAGAUUAAGAUGCCACGUAAGAUGAGAUCGAUGCAAAAGCGCCUACAAAAGAUGGACUGUGAUAGUUAUGGUGUUCAGCCAGAAAUUCACUGCAAGGAGCGGCAAGUUCCUGACAUCCAGGAAACAACAGGAUAUGUGGAGGAGGCAGAAAUCAUCCGCAGGACUGAUAAUGAAAGGAAAAUCUUGGAUUGCAUAUCUGGGAGCAAUAGUUAUUUCCCCCUGCUUUUGAUUACAGUGAUUGGAGUCAGUAGGUAGUGAUUAGAGUCAGUAGGUAAUACAGGACAUGGUAAAUUUCAUUGGAAUAUAACUUGCAAGUUGAUGGGUUCAGAACCUUUGUGCUGUGAAAAAGA